GAGGCUCUUCGGAGUAGUAAAGUGGCAAACGGGUGAGGAAUGCAUGGGUAACCUACCCUUGAGAAGGGAAUAACCCGCCGAAAGGUGAGCUAAUACCCUAUACGCUACACUUUCUAUGGGAGGUGUGGGAAAGCUAAGCCGUGGGUUUGGCACUCAAGGAGGGGCUCAUGUCCUAUCAGCUUGUUGGUAGGGUAACGGCCUACCAAGGCAACGACGGGUAGCUGGUCUGAGAGGAUGAUCAGCCACACUGGCACUGAGAUACGGGCCAGACUCCUACGGGAGGCAGCAGUGAGGAAUAUUGCGCAAUGGGCGAAAGCCUGACGCAGCGACGCCGCGUGGGGGAUGAAGGUUCUCGGAUUGUAAACCCCUUUUGUGAGGAAAGAGAAAGUGGGUAACCACUUAGACGGUACCUCAAGAAAAAGCCACGGCUAACUUCGUGCCAGCAGCCGCGGUAAUACGAAGGUGGCGAGCGUUGUUCGGAUUUACUGGGCGUAAAGAGCACGUAGGCGGUUGGGUAAGCCUCUUGGGAAAGCUCCCGGCUUAACCGGGAAAGGUCGAGAGGA
rnacentral:rRNA from 1 species